GUCUCUGUGGCGCAAUGGGACAGCGCGUUCGGCUGUUAACCGAAAGUUUGUUGGUUCGAGCCCACCCAGGGACG
rnacentral:tRNA from 1 species